UUGCGUUUCAAGCUCGGUCGUCUUGAGGAACAACUUGAUGUGUUUUGGAAACAGAGGGCUCAUGUGGGCUGGCUGACGAAAGGAGAUCGAAAUACGGAGUACUUUCAUGGUUUUGCCUCGACACGGAAGAGAGCCAACCGAAUCACAAAGCUAAGAGGAGAUGAUGGGGUGGAGGUAGAAGAGGAGGAGGGUUUGAAGGCCCUCGUUUCUAAUCAUUUCUUUGGCUUGUUUACCCCCAUGGCAGGUACAAACAUUGAAGAAGUUCUUCAACAUGUUCAACUGCGAGUCACACCCGAAAUGAACACUUUUCUCCGGAAUGAAUACACAGCCCAGGAGAUAAAG
rnacentral:rRNA from 1 species